UCAGCAUGUUUCUUUUUCAGCGCGGCUGUGACGAUUACAAUUUUACGCACUCUCUUGCAAUUUGCUACCUUUUCUCUUCUGUGUGCUCGCAACUUGAGGUGCUAGUUUCGGUUCCGGGGGAGAUAAAAUCCCUGUCAUUAGUUCCUAAACGAAGGUGAAAAUGACUCUCACUAGCACAGUGUACAACAGUCUUUUCCGGCGAACUUCCACAUUCGCCCUGGGUGUUAUUGCAGCAGCGUUUUUCUUUGAAAGAGGGCUGGAUUCUGCUGCAGACGUAAUCUUCGAGAGGCAUAACCAAGGGAAACUGUGGAAGCACAUUGAACACAAGUAUGUGGCUAAGGAAGAGGAAGAAUAAGAAGCUUCACUAGUGUCAAAUGAAACUGCACCCAGCAUGUUUGUGAAUAUACGAGAAACAAUGUA